ACAUGCAAGUCGAACGGUAACAUUUCUAGCUUGCUAGAAGAUGACGAGUGGCGGACGGGUGAGUAAUGCUUGGGAACUUGCCUUUGCGAGGGGGAUAACAGUUGGAAACGACUGCUAAUACCGCAUAAUGUCUACGGACCAAACGGGGCUUAGGCUCCGGCGCAAAGAGAGGCCCAAGUGAGAUUAGCUAGUUGGUAAGGUAACGGCUUACCAAGGCGACGAUCUCUAGCUGUUCUGAGAGGAAGAUCAGCCACACUGGGACUGAGACACGGCCCAGACUCCUACGGGAGGCAGCAGUGGGGAAUAUUGCACAAUGGGGGAAACCCUGAUGCAGCCAUGCCGCGUGUGUGAAGAAGGCCUUCGGGUUGUAAAGCACUUUCAGUUGUGAGGAAAAGUUAGUAGUUAAUACCUGCUAGCCGUGACGUUAACAACAGAAGAAGCACCGGCUAACUCCGUGCCAGCAGCCGCGGUAAUACGGAGGGUGCGAGCGUUAAUCGGAAUUACUGGGCGUAAAGCGCACGCAGGCGGUUUGUUAAGCUAGAUGUGAAAGCCCCGGGCUCAACCUGGGAUGGUCAUUUAGAACUGGCAGACUAGAGUCUUGGAGAGGGGAGUGGAAUUCCAGGUGUAGCGGUGAAAUGCGUAGAUAUCUGGAGGAACAUCAGUGGCGAAGGCGACUCCCUGGCCAAAGACUGACGCUCAUGUGCGAAAGUGUGGGUAGCGAACAGGAUUAGAUACCCUGGUAGUCCACACCGUAAACGCUGUCUACUAGCUGUGUGUGUCUUUAAGACGUGCGUAGCGAAGCUAACGCGCUAAGUAGACCGCCUGGGGAGUACGGCCGCAAGGUUAAAACUCAAAUGAAUUGACGGGGGCCCGCACAAGCGGUGAGCAUGUGGUUUAUUCGAUGCAACGCGAGAACCUUACCUACACUUGACAUGCUGAGAGUUACUAGAGAUAGUUUCGUGCCUUCGGGACUCAGACACAGGUGCUGCAUGGCCUGUCGUCAGCUCGGUGUCGUGAGAAUGUUGGGUAAGUCCCGCACGAGCGCAACCCUUGUCCUAGUUGCCAGCAUAGGUGGGCACUCUAGGAGACUGCCGGUGACAAACCGGAGGAAGGUGGGGACGACGU
rnacentral:rRNA from 1 species